rfam:Dengue virus 1 isolate DENV1-VE-IDAMS-910132_2015-10-19, complete genome
UCUCGUGGACCGACAAGAACAGUUUCGAAUCGGAAGCUUGCUUAACGUAGUU